CCCCCACCCCCAAAGAACAAGCACUCAGUGGCCAUGGUGAACAGGAGUACACCAGGGAAGGUUGAGGCUCUGGAGAGGCUCUGGGGCUGGGCCCAGUCAGAGGGGCCAGGAGCAGCAUGAGACUCACAGGACUGCAGCACAGAAGUCUGGGCAGCACUGAUGUCCCUGGAGCAGAGCAGGUGAAGGACCAGUCGGGCAACGAAACUGGUGAAGCAUCUGGAGAGGAGCAGAGCAGGUGAGGGUUGGCGUGCGGAGGGGUUGGGGAGAGUUGAGCAGGUACAGGACCAGGAGAGGGGUGUGGGGCUGUGUGGGCAGAGCCUCCAGUGGUCCCAGGGCCACAGGCGAGGAACCCUGGGCCUCUCUCCCCCAUCUUAGGCACUGCCCCCUUGGUGGGAGAAACCUGCUGCUCACCCCUGGGCACACAGAUGGUGCAGAGGAUGCAGGAGCUCUUGCAAAGGCUUGGGCCUGGGUGGUAAAUCGUGCAGAUUGCAAGGAGCACAUAGAUAGGCUCUCUAGCUCCCCUUAAGAAAGACUCUGGGACCAGUAUAUUAGAAUCCAAACGGGACUCUCCAAGGUGGGCAGAGGUUAUUCACAGAGCAGCCCUAAUCCACCAUGACCUGCUCAGCUGGAAAAUCCGCACAUCUUCCUGCUCCACGAAGCCUAGGCUAUGAUCAGUCUCAGUCCCGCAGUGAGCACACCUAGGUGUCCAGUGUCCCCUGGGCCGAAGCUGCAGCUCGUCAUGGAGUACGUGCAGAAGGGAUUUUGCAACUUGGGAUUCUUACACGGUGUCAGUCCAGCUGGAAUUUCUCCUUUUAAAAAUCCUCUCCAGACGGCUACCCACCCUUCCUCCUCCCUGGAUUCAAACCCUGCAGGGUGACCUUAGCCAAAUUGGAAACAUUAAUAUGCCCAACAGAUGCAGGCUUUGGACACCAUUCUCUGCCAAUUAAAUCACUGGGUACAGGAAUGAAAAACUACAGGGGCUGUCUACCUUAAAUUUGUGUUUUUUCAUCAUUGUUUAGAUGGUGUUCAAUUCCCUUCUAAAACUAAGGUUUUGCUAAGUCUGGUAAAUGCAAGUGAGCUGAGGUAUGUGUGUUUGAAAAAAGAAAUGUAUGGAAGAGGGAUAUUCUGAAGGGCCUUAAGAUAAUGUAAAGCCGGAUGGGUAAAAUGGAAUGGCAUUAGAAUGAAAGCAAGCAAAAGAAAGUGUUGAAGGUCUGACAGGGAGGUUUUGGUGAGAAAUCGUGUGUACUCAGGUGUCUCCCCCUCCUCCAACACAUUCAUGGGCUUGCUCAUCUGACCAGCAAAGCCCCCUCUGACUGACCUUUUGUCAGCUGAACCUGGGGCCAGGGCAUCCAAACUUGGACCAACUCUCCCUUACUGCCAUGGAUCCUUCCCAUAGUAGGCCUGGUGAUCAUGAUCAUGCUUUUAUUUGUUUCUACACCCCAUUUUCUCUGCUUUAUCCAGGAAAAGCUCUCUGAGAUGAGCCUUCGCACUCCCAGACCUGGGAAAGCCAUUCCUGUUAUUGACAGAUGAGCAACAGGGCGUUGCUCUAGGGGUUCUGGGCCAACCUACGCCAGUCCAGCGAGCAGUUGCUUAUUUCUCUAAACAAAUGGAUCCCACUGUAAGAGGAUGGCAGCCCUGCCUGCGUGCACUUGUGGCAGCUUCUCGUCUCGCUAGACCUAAGGCCUUAAAACCCACACUGGGCCAAUCUGUAAAUGUUAGUUCUCCACAUGGGCUCCAGGACCUGCUCACUCAUCAGGCUCUCUCCCCUCCAUCACCCUCUUGUCUGUUAGAUUUCUACUCUCUUUGUCAAAGACCGUCUCAUCUCCCUCUCCCAAUCCUCGACUCUCCAUCCUGCCAGGCUUCACGGGUGUUCCACUCCCUAACGCAGGUAAAACCCUCUUCUUACUAGGGUGGACACCAUCACCAGUUGGACAGUGGACCUGCCUUUAUCUCAAAGAUUACUCCACAGGUCUCCUCCCUGGGCAUCACCUGGGAACUACACAUUCCCUCCCGACUGCAAUCCUCUGGUAAGGGAGAACGGAUAAAUGGUCUGACCAGAGACCACCUAGCCAAACUCUCCACAGAGCCCACAAAUCCUGGGUGGAGCUGCUCCCACUGGCUUUAGUGCAUCUCCGAGCCACUCCCCAUGGCCCCUUGUUCCUGAUCCCCCUUGAACGGAUGUGUGGCAAACCUCUUCUUACUAACCAUGAGCUCCGCGUCCAACCUACACUGUUGGCUGGAUAUUUUCCAUACUUCUCUUUGCUCAGACAGCUGCUCCAAGAACACGCAGACCUUUGUCUGCCACAACCUGUGCCUCCGUCCCCUGAUGCACCUGUCAACCUGCUGUGCCCUGGAGACCAGGUUCUUCUGAAAGCCAUCUCUCCAAAAGCACUUCCGCCAAAGUGGAUGGGUCCACACACGAUCAUCCUGACUACACCAAUGGCUGUCAAGGCAUCAGCUGUCCAGGGUCAAAGCGGUCCCUGUGGACAAGCACUAAUGAAGCAAUGUUGACACAAUUACCAAACUCUGUGCUUAAUUUCAUCAGUUCUUCCUAAUGUACAUUUUAUGUUCCAUAAUCCAAAUUGCCUCACUCAGUUACAGCCAGUUCUCCUCGAUGUGCCUCUUGCUGACUGUUUCUCUGACUUUGCUUGUUUUUAUAACGUUGACAUUGGUGAGGAGUGAUAUUUUGGAGAGGUGUUGGGUUCACAGUUGGGGUUCUUGGGUCACGUCUGAGAAAAAUUUCACCAGAUUCCCCCUUUCACAUACACAGUGAGUUUCCCCACAAGACAGAGACUUUUUGUCUGUGCCAAAGAGAAGUUUUAUUAUUUCUUUUUUUAAAAAAAGGGAAAGAGUCAGAACCCUGCUACCCUCCCCCACCCACUGAGUAGGCUCUCUCCGACCAACGGAAAGGAGGGAAAAAAAAAAAAACUGCAAGAACGAACUACAGAUCAAGGGGGACACUGAGUAGAGAGGAACUAUUUCAGGCACCGCACCCCACAAAUGGGAACUGUGGAGAACGGUGAAGAAAUCACCACAGAGGUGAUCGAGCGGCUCCGGGCGCCAUCAGAGGAAGACAAGGAUUCCACGGAGACCUAUAAAUAGCCUAAGGCCAGCUGAGAACCACUGGGAAAAUGCAAAGGUCAGCAAGGACAGGUCUCUGGUGCCACCUCAUGACCAGAACAAAAUCACCAACUAGCUGAUUCCCUGUUGGAACUAAGUAAAUACAGAGGGAGGGAACUGUAAGGGACAGUGCCCAGCAACACAGCAUCAACACUCUGGUGGAGUGUUGUCUCCAGUGCCAGUCUCAGUCUGGUGAACAGUUUCCGACACCCCUAAAGGAGCACUCCAAAGAGAUGGAAGCCACCCUUAGGACAACUUGGAUCCUUCUCCUUUGGGGACUUGCUGGCGCGGGGUUGCACAGAGAGGAGGGGGCAGAGCUUGCUGGCUUUCAGGGCUGCUUCAGAACCCAGGGGUUCUCUGAGCCCCUCUGGCUGCCCCCCCCAACAGUAAAUGGACUGAACAGUGAAGAGGAGGAGGAAGAGGAGGACAAGGGUCCCCUGACAAAACUAAGCAUCCCGGACGAUCUAGACAGCUGCGAGGCCAUGGUGAGCUCGGCCCUGGGGCCCCUUCCCUGCCCCACCUUCCCCCUCCCACCAGCACACCCUUCUUCUUGGUUUCCCUCCCUUUGAUUAAGCUUUCACCCACCUCUGCUGGGAGCCAGUGGGUAGACACCAACACCAUCCUCGAAUCUCAGGUGUGCCCACGGAGGCCCUGAGAGGUGUGCCUCCCAACCUCCUGCCGGGCCCACAGGGGCACCCUGCACUUCUGGCCCACAGGUGGCAUUUUGUGACUCGGCCUUGGCCAGUGCUGAGGAAGAACAGGCGCGGCUACACAGGCAGCUAAAGGAGCAAAAGCUGCUCUGCUGGCUCCUGGCUCAGCAGGCAGCCCCAUGGGACCAGGAGCCUGAGAAGAUGGAGGCCCCAGCCCCCGGGGGGAAAGUGUGCCUGGGGAGACCCACCAGGCCCUUCAGGGAGCCAUGGAGAAACUGCAGGGCCGCUUUACCGAGCUCAUGCAGGAGAAAGUGGGCUUACAGGACUGGAUGGAGGAGCUGGAGCAUCGAUGUAUCCAGAUGUCUGGAGAGACUGACACCAUCGGUGAGCGGGGAGGCUUGUGCCCUGCAGCUGGGGUGCUAUGCAGAGGCUGGGGAGACCCCAGCAGCUGAGCUGUCUGCGC